AUCACGUGUCUUGCCAAAUGAUCUCUAGUUCGAGACUUGACCUUGUUUAUGAUUUAUUUAAAAUUUUAAAACCCUUCCCCAAAUUCUUCCCUUCCUCCAGAGCUGUCACCCUCCCUAAUUUUUUUUUUUCUCACUUCUGGGUCUGAGUUAUAAACCAGCCAAAAAUCUUUUAGAGAGAGAGAGUCAAAUCUUAUACCACACAACCAAAAGCCUCACACCCACUUGAAAAUCUGUCCCCACAAAGUGAUAGAUAUGCCCACUUUGGUCCUCAGCCGUCUGAGCAACCCAAUCAACGUCUCUCACCGAUCCGUGGAGGAAGCAACGGCUUGGAUUUCUCUGAUGAUGUUGCUAGUGGGCCACACAACGAGGUGAAGAAGAAAGAUUGUUUGGAGUUAUUUUUGCAAGGAAAAGAUGAGAGAGGCAGAGUGGAAGAGAAGGGUAAUGAUACCAGGAUGAGCAAGGGAAGAUAGGUGAGGAUUAUUCACUGCUUGAGACUUUUGAUACUCAGUUGCUGACCAAGAUAUCCUGUGGAGAAGCUUCUGUGAGAAAAUGCAAAGGAGCGUCCAUGCCAAAUCUAGCAACUAAAUGAUAUUGCGGGUGUCGUAAGCUCCUUGGGUCACAAAUUUCAUCUCUAAUUUAUCCAAGAACUCCAAAUACAAAUAAUAGUUUAGCCAAUUUUGAUUUAGCUGCAUCCUGUAACAAAGUGAAAUUCAAAAUAGUAUAAGUGUUUAUAGCAUUUCAGAACUUAUCACUCACCCAUCAAUGGAUUCAUUUCUCUAGUAUAGAGUUAUUGAAUGACAAGAAGAAGUUAGUCGAUCUCAAAAAGGGAUCAGCCUUAUUGAAGAUUGUUUAUUCCCAGCUGCCCCCUGAUUGAAUCAAAUGAACAUGCUGUGCUGAUACUCAAGUGUUUCUAAAAGAGCCUUAGUUGGAAUUAUUACUUCAACCUAUUGGCAUAUAAGUGUGAAACAUAGCAGCCAAUGAUUUUACUAAUUCUUCUUGUGGUUGUGAAAUAUUGAAUUCGAAAAUAUUAAAUUCUUAACAUCCCCUUUUCCACUGUUGGCAGAAGCCAAUGUCCCAGGGUCCUAGGGACUCAUUCUGGCUGGAGAUUAAACUUAAGUUUUUGUCACAAAGUAACAUAAAUAUUGGCUGCCAAGUGCCAACAAUAUUUCAAAUACCUAUCACGCUGAUGGAACUCUCAAGGCAGGCUCUUGGAAGGAGUUCAUGCUUCCUUUGUAGAGUCAGAACCAUUUUAUACAUAGCCACAUUUACAAUCUUCCAAUUUGUAUACGUCCUGGUCUUUUUGGUGUAACAUGGAUUCCUAUAGCUAGAAUCUUGUUUCCCUUGCCUUUUCUUCUUUCUCAUCAGCAUAAGUCAGCAUAUUCUCCCUAAGCUGAUUCCAAAGCAUCAUUUGCAGGAACUGGAUGCAGCUGAAUAUGAGGAAGUCACCAGUGCCCCAGGAGUUUCUAUCAGCCUAUCUUUCAUUUCCUUUAUAUUACAACCAUUUGCCUUUCUCUUUUUAAGUUGUAUUUUCCAAUGCUUGAAAUUUGCAUCUUUGUUUAAUAAUAAAUUUUUGUUAUUGAAAUUUAAAUAUUCACUGCUAUUGCACAAAUUUUGAUAAUGUGAAAUAUUAUUUGCUUAAGUUUGAUUCCUUUUUUGCAUUGAAAUUUGGAGCAUAAUCUGAUAAGGAAUAAAUUUGCUUGAGGUUAUAUAUGUGUGUCUUUGUGUUUUUAAGUUUGUAUUAAAAAAAUUGAUAUGAUUGGUGAAUUUGAAAAUAUGCUGCUGAAGACAAUAAGUUUUAUUUAUAAUGAGAUGCAAUUUUGAUUUGUAUUAGUGUGUGUCUAGCAACCAUUGCUUUGUUCACUCAAUGUAAGAUGAGUCAUUGAAGUGGGAUGAUGUGAACUGAAUAAUGAACAAGUAGUAAUGUUAAUGUAAAUGUUUUUUUGUUUUUGUUUAAGGUGGUUCAUCAUUCAAUUUUGUCAUGUUUGUUCAAUUUCCUUUUGUUCAAUUGCCUUUUGUUUAUUUGUUAAAAUACUUUCUUUGUUUUCAUAAUUAUAAUUGUUUGUUCAAUGUUGUUCAGGAUCAUCUUCUGUAAGAGCUGAAUCGAUCCUCACCAAAAUGCAUAAAUAUUGUCUAAAUGUGUUGGAUUCUUCUUCAUAUGCAAAGUUUACGGUUUCUUUGCACAUUUGUUAGUAGAAUAGUGAUUACAUUUAUCUGUAAUUUCAUGGAAGUGAGUUAAAGCACUGAAGUCUCAAAAAUUGAAUAGACAUAGUCAAAUCAUGUUUUAUGUAAUUGCAUGUGUUAUGAUACUGGAUUUGAAACUUAGAAGUUGGCAUAUACAAUUUACCUUUGGCUACUGGUUGCUGUUGUG